CCUUCGGAUGAUUUGUUGGGCGUCGAGCGGCGGACGGGUGAGUAAUGCCUGGGAAAUUGCCCUGAUGUGGGGGAUAACCAUUGGAAACGAUGGCUAAUACCGCAUAANGUCUACGGACCAAAGAGGGGGACCUUCGGGCCUCUCGCUUCAGGAUAUGCCCAGGUGGGAUUAGCUAGUUGGUGAGGUAAUGGCUCACCAAGGCGACGAUCCCUAGCUGGUCUGAGAGGAUGAUCAGCCACACUGGAACUGAGACACGGUCCAGACUCCUACGGGAGGCAGCAGNGGGGAAUAUUGCACAAUGGGCGCAAGCCUGAUGCAGCCAUGCCGCGUGUAUGAAGAAGGCCUUCGGGUUGUAAAGUACUUUCAGUCGUGAGGAAGGCGUUGAAGUUAAUAGCUUC
rnacentral:rRNA from 1 species